AUGGCUGUCAGGCUCCUCUGCUCUGUGGCCCUUUACCUCUUGGGAGCAGGCUUCUUGGAUGCUGAUAUUUACCAGACCCCAAGAUACUGUGUGAUAGGGAAGGGAAAGAAGAUUACUCUAGAAUGUUCUCAAACUAUGGGCCUUGACAACAUGUACUGGUAUCAGCAAGACCCAGGAAUGGAACUGCAGCUGAUCCAUUAUUCAUACAGGGUAAAUACCAUGGAGAAAGGAGAGCGCUCUUCAGAAUAAGCAAAGAGCACUUUCCCCUGACGCUAGAGACCGCCAACUCCUCGCAGACAUCUAGCUACUUCUGCGCCAGCGGUGACGACACAGGCCCCCACAGAUUGCACAAAAAGGCAGUCACAAAAGCGAAGAAGUCCCACCUGCUUAAACCUCACCUCAAACUACGGAAGCUACUGCAAAUCUCCUGGACACCUCAGCCCUGA